rnacentral:rRNA from 1 species
CUCAAACCCGGUCCGCCCCCCGAACCCCGCGGCUCCGGUCCGGUAGGGGAGGGUGGCACACCCGGUGUAGCGGUGUAAUGCGCAGAUAUCGGGUGGAACACCGGUGGCGAAGGCGGCCCUCUGGGCCGAGACCGACGCUGAGGCGCGAAAGCUGGGGGAGCGAA